rnacentral:lncRNA from 1 species
CUGAAAGGAACCUGGAAGCCACACUACCCAGCGGCUCUCCAUCUUUUUCUGCCACGUCAGCCAUGAUGGAUGGCAUCUGCCACACGAUGGAUGAUGCCAGCUCCGCUCCCAGUGUGCUUGCUCCACACUUCCCUGCUGCUGAAAAUUCCAGAAGAACCAAUCUUUGAAGAGCAAAAACCAGUGGUGCUCAAUCAUGGGUAGUUUCAUCCCCUCCCCCACUCCUCAGGAUAUUUGCAGUCUGGAGACAUUUUGGUUGUUACACCUAGAGAAGAUGCAAGUAGGGCC